UACGUAGGGUGCGAGCGUUGUCCGGAAUUAUUGGGCGUAAAGAGCUUGUAGGCGGUCUGUCGCGUCUGCUGUGAAAAUCCGGGGCUCAACCCCGGACUUGCAGUGGGUACGGGCAGACUAGAGUGUGGUAGGGGAGACUGGAAUUCCUGGUGAUAGCGGUGAAAUGCGCAGAUAUCAGGAGGAACACCAGUGGCGAAGGCGGCUCACUGGCCCGGUAC
rnacentral:rRNA from 1 species